GACGAACGCUGGCGGCGUGCUUAACACAUGCAAGUCGAACGGGUCUGCCCUGUUUUUUGCGGGGUGGGUCAGUGGCGAACGGGUGAGUAACACGUGAGUAACCUGCCCCUCACUUCUGGAUAACCGCUUGAAAGGGUGGCUAAUACGGGGUGUUCUGGCUGUGCCGCAUGGUGUGGCUGGGAAAGAUUCACUUUUGUGGUGUUUUGGUGGGGGAUGGGCUCGCGGCCUAUCAGCUUGUUGGUGGGGUGAUGGCCUGCCAAGGCUUUGACUGGUAGCCGGCCUGAGAGGGUGGGCGGUCACACUGGGACUGAGAUACGGCCCAGACUCCUGCGGGAGGCAGCAGUGGGGGGUAUUGCACAAUGGGCGGAAGCCUGAUGCAGCGACGUCGCGUGAGGGAUGGAGGCCUUCGGGUUGUGAACCUCUUUCGCCGGUGAAGAAGGUCCUGCUCUUUGUGGUGGGGUUGACGGUAGCCGGGUUAUGAAGCGCCGGCUAACUACGUG
rnacentral:rRNA from 1 species